UAUACAGACCAAGUCCAACCAUAUCCUGUCCAUCCAGACAGAUUCACCUACUGGUGUCAGGUUCUGUGUAGAGAGGGUCUGUCUGGACGCUGUUACUGGGAGGUGGAGUGGACUGGUGAUGUUGAUACAGCAGUCUCAUAUAAAGACAUCAGCAGAACAGAGAGAGUAUCAUUGAUCAGCUUGUUGGCUCGGUCCUAAUUGAUGUGUUCUCUGUCACCUGGAGCUGCAUGGAAAAUGGUCCAGGAACUAAAGGACAAUUCAGGACUAGUCAGCCCACUACAAGCUGGUAUCACUUACUUUCUACUAAACUAUAUGGUCUGGUUUCCCAGACACAGAUGAAUCCUAGUCCUGGACUAAACAGUAUGUUCAAUGUAGAUGUCCAGGAAACCGGCCCUAAAUGUGUCAUCUUUCAUCCUCCCAUACUGCUCAGUCCAGCAACAUUAAACCUGUCCAGCAGGUGGUGCUGUUGACCAAACAAUAAAACCAGCAGAUAUCUUGACUUGCCACUCAGUAUAUCAGUAAUGUUCAGAAUAGUACUUUAAUAUCAUUGGAGAUUGAUGGUCUUUUUAAUCCACUAUCCAGAGUCAGGAACAGAUGAAGUUAGGUCUGCUACUGUUCAGUGAUUAAAUAUGAUUUAUGGUGAUGGGAAAUAAUAAAAAACACU